UAUUGCAACUUUCUUCGUUAAAAACUCUAACGUGUGCAAUAAUGGAAAAUAGGCGAUGACAUUGUUACAAAAUUUUCUAGUGCAGCAACGUUUCUCCCUCUUUUCUAUACUAACGCAGUACAUCAACUUUGUUACUAUCUCUUCCUCUUUUCAAUAUAAAUACAGCCAUCUUCCGACGUUGAUUUCAUGAUUAUAGUAUCGGUUUCCCCCGAGUGAUAGCCGGAUAUUUCUUCGAAGUGAAGUAAGGUGGAAGGAGAUUAUUUCUUGGCAUAUGAGGUUUAUCAUAUUAAUUGUGGAAGUUCUUGGCUGGACUGAGCUCUUGAACGACGUAAGGUACAGAUAGUCGGUUUGGUGACCCUUCAGCAUAGGACUUCUACUCAGCUGUCUUGGAGAGCUCCGUUGUUCCGGAGUCUAGACUUUUGGUACAGAUCUUAUGAUAUAUAUGUAUAUGUUUAACCAGGGGUACGGUGGGGCCCUGUCCCGUCAUAUUUCGCUAUCGAUACUCUUAGAGGUCUGUAGACAUAUGUGUGGGUUGUGUAUAAGUUCUGUUCAGCUGUGUCUAAACGAUGUGCGAUGGAUAUGUUCGUCUGUGAUGGCAGCCUUGUCGGCUUGCAUAUGAUAUGAUAUUGAUGUAUAGUGGCAGCCUUGUCGGCUUGCGUAUCAUUUUAUGAUUUGAUCAGUUGUGACUCCUCAGGAGACAGUUUAUCUGGAUAUAUAUAUAUAUAUGAUGACGUUAUGGACCUUCGGAGUUCUUCGUAAGUUUCCAUAUUAUUCGUAGUUUCAGUUUGACUACAUCUAAUAGGUACGUAUAUGGGUGUUCAGGUCGGACACUGGUCAUGGCCCAUGGGGUUGGGUCGUGACAAUAUUAUAUCAGAUGAAGGCAUCAGGGUUGACACUCAGAAGAUAGAGGCUAUGAAGACUUGGCCUAGAACCACGACACCAACGGAGGUUCGUAGUAUUUUAGGGUUGGCAGGAUAUUACAGGAUAUUUGUAGAGGGCUUCUCCUCUAUUUCAGUGCCAUUGAUGAAACUGACGCAAAAGGCAGCUAAGUUCCAGUGAACAGACGCUUGUAGCUAAGUUUCAGUGGACAGACGCUUGUGAGCGAAGUUUUCAGGAGAUGAAGAGCAGAUUGACUUCAGUGCCAGUUUUGACACUUCCAGAGGGAUCAAAGGGUUAUGCUAUUUAUUGUGACGCCUCGAGCGUCAUAUUGGGUUGUGUAUUGUGAUGUUCGGCCAAAAAUGCAUAUAUUUAGCCAUUGUUUCCCUCACAUCUUGGUCUGUUUAAUCGCCUUUUGAGUAUUAAUUAUAGUGCAUUGUGCUUAAUAUUAUAUUUUUGCUUUGAAGGUACAUUGAAGAUGAAAUUUGGAGUAGACAUAUACGAUCCUCAGGAAAAAAGACGAAGUGUGAAAAGAGAAUUACAAGCGAAAGUGCACCAGAAUUUCCACUACGUUCAGCAUGGGAAACUGUCUUGAUGGAUUCAAAUAAAAUUGGCCAAAUUAUUGGGUAAUGAUUGGGAAGAGAACAUUAUGUUAUAUUAUAUGUAAAAGAAGAGAAAUAAGAAUUUGAAGUACUUACCUGGCAGCCAGUAGAGGAAGAAGCGAAAGAAACUGCAAAAGAGCUUUGGCGCAAUGCGUUGGUCAACAUGGCUAAUUUUAUUGCGUCAAUUGGUGCGAAGCACUUAAUGUUAUUGUCGGACUCAAAAUUAUUUCCCAAAUCAUUUUGGAUUCAGUUAUUUUAUUUGCGCUUUUCCCUACACCUAUAAAUAUUUCAUAAGCCACAAUUAUUAGACAUCUUUGGCA